rnacentral:rRNA from 1 species
UACCAGCACCCCGAGUGGUCGGCGCGAUUAUUGGGCCUAAAGCGUCCGUAGCCGGUCAUGCAAGUCCUCCGUUAAAUCCACCUGCUUAACAGAUGGGCUGCGGAGGAUACUACAAGGCUAGGAGGCGGAAGAGGCAAGCGGUACUCAGUGGGUAGGGGUAAAAUCCUCUGAUCCAUUGAAGACCACCAGUGGCGAAGGCGGCUUGCCAAUACGCGCUCGACGGUGAGGGAUGAAAGCUGGGGGAGCAAACCGG